UCUGUUCACAUGGCAGGUAGGCCUGCUGUGGUUAUUCUGUUUUCGCAUGGCAGGUAGGCCUACUGCUGUUAUUCUGUUCACAUGACAGGUAUUCCUACUGCUGUUAUUCUGGUCACAUGGCAGGUAUUCCUACUGCUGUUAUUCUGGUCACAUGGCAGUUAGGCCUACUGCUGUUAUUCUGGUCACAUGGCAGGUAUUCCUACUGCUGUUAUUCUGGUCACAUGGCAGGUAGGCCUACUGCUGUUAUUCUGUUCACAUGGCAGGUAUUCCUACUGCUGUUAUUCUGGUCACAUGGCAGGUAUUCCUACUGCUGUUAUUCUGGUCACAUGGCAGGUAGACCUACUGCUGUUAUUCUGGUCACAUGGCAGGUAGACCUACUGCUGUUAUUCUGAUCACAUGGCAGGUAUUCCUACUGCUGUUAUUCUGUUCACAUGGCAGGUAGGCCUACUGCUGUUAUUCUGUUCACAUGGCAGGUAGGCCUACUGCUGUUAUUCUGGUCACAUGGCAGGUAUUCCUACUGCUGUUAUUCUGGUCACAUGGCAGGUAUUCCUACUGCUGUUAUUCUGGUCACAUGGCAGUUAGGCCUACUGCUGUUAUUCUGGUCACAUGGCAGGUAUUCCUACUGCUGUUAUUCUGGUCACAUGGCAGGUAGGCCUACUGCUGUUAUUCUGUUCACAUGGCAGGUAUUCCUACUGCUGUUAUUCUGUUCAUAUGACAGGUAGGCCUACUGCUUUUAUUCUUUUAGAUCAGAGUUUUCAGCAACAGUAAUGAAUAAGAUUAUAUGGACAGGGAGGACCUGAUUCUUGAUCAGCUCUCCGCCUCCCGCAGGCACUUUGUGAAUAGGCGGAGGCUACGACUACGUAGAUUUCACCCCUGCCCCACUCCCGUCCCGCCCCUCAGGGGACUUCUUUCUCAAAUCUAAGGAUCAGAAAUCACGUUCUGCACGUGUUUUUUAAAUUAUUUUUUAUGUGCAAAAUUCCUGGGGGUUUAACAGACAGUGGUGAGUUUUCAGAGUGUGUUUUUUCUAAUUCUAUCCACAGACAUAGUGUAUGCUUUGUGUAAGAUAUGUAUCUAUGCAAAAGUAUAAUUAAGAUAAGUGUCAUAUUUUGAAGGUCGAUAUUUUCAGGCGUGACACAAAGAACCUCAUCUACAGUGAGACUUGUACUGUGAAUAGCCAUAGCAAAUGUGUAAAUGUUUGUAGUAACCUUGUUGUUAAUAACAAACAUCUCUUCUCCCUCUACACUACUCU